CAACUCGCCUGCACGAAGUCGGAAUUGCUAGUAAUCGUAGGUCAGCAUACUACGGUGAAUACGUUCCCGGGCCUUGUACACACCGCCCGUCAAACCAUGAGAGUUGGCAACACCCGAAGUCGGUAGUCUAACCGCAAGGAGGACGCCGCCGAAGGUGGGGUUGAUGAUUAGGGUUAAGUCGUAACAAGGUAAC
rnacentral:rRNA from 1 species